GAUGAAGAACGUAGCGAAAUGCGAUACGUAGUGUGAAUUGCAGAAUUCAGUGAAUCAUCGAAUCUUUGAACGCACAUUGCACCUCUCGGUAUUCCGGAGGGCAUGCCUGUUCGAGCGUCAUUAUCACCCCUCAAGCCCGGCUUGUUGUUGGAUGCAGCGCUUAUCCCGCUCCUCCCAAAGAUAAUGACGGCGUCUGCGACGACUCCUGUACACUGAGCUUUCGGGCACGUACACGGCUAGAAGUCCAGACCCGGUCGCCGUCCCCCCCGCGGGGACACCCAUUACCACAAGGUUGACCUCGGAUCAGGUAGGAAUACCCGCUGAACUUAAGCAUAUCAAUAAGCGGAGGA
rnacentral:misc_RNA from 1 species